AGGCUGUGGUGGGGCACUGGCUU
rnacentral:miRNA from 1 species